UACGAAGGUCCCAAGCGUUGUUCGGAAUUACUGGGCGUAAAGGGCGCGUAGGCGGCCUGCUAAGUCGGAUGUGAAAUCCCUCGGCUCAACCGAGGAACUGCAUCCGAUACUGGCGGGCUUGAAUCCGGGAGAGGGAUGUGGAAUUCCAGGUGUAGCGGUGAAAUGCGUAGAUAUCUGGAGGAACACCGGUGGCGAAGGCGGCAUCCUGGACCGGUAUUGACGCUGAGGCGCGAAAGCUAGGGGAGCAAACGGG
rnacentral:rRNA from 1 species